UACGUAGGGGGCAAGCGUUGUCCGGAAUCAUUGGGCGUAAAGCGCGUGUAGGCGGCCCGAUAAGUCCGCUGUGAAAGUCCAGGGCUCAACCCUGGGAUGCCGGUGGAUACUGUCGGGCUCGAGUCCGGAAGAGGAGUGUGGAAUUCCGUGGUGUAGCGGUGAAAUGCGCAGAUAUCAGGAGGAACACCAAUGGCGAAGGCAGCACUCUGGGGACGUGACUGACGCUGAGACGCGAAAAGCGUGGGGAGCAAACAGG
rnacentral:rRNA from 1 species